AAAACAACUGCAAGCGAUAGAUCACUCGGAUUGCCAAUCGAUGAAGAGCGCAGCAAGCUGCGUUAAUCGAUGCGAAAUACAGAAUACAUUGAGCAUUUGAAUCUCUAAUGCACAUUGCAACCCUGAGCAAUUCUCGUGGUUACAUCUUUCCGAGA
rnacentral:rRNA from 1 species